UACGAAGGGGGCUAGCGUUGUUCGGAAUUACUGGGCGUAAAGCGUGCGUAGACGGUUACAUAAGUCGGGUGUGAAAGCCCCGGGCUCAACCUGGGAAUUGCAUUCGAGACUGCGUAGCUAGGGUGCGGAAGAGGGAAGCGGAAUUUCCGGUGUAGCGGUGAAAUGCGUAGAUAUCGGAAGGAACACCAGUGGCGAAAGCGGCUUCCUGGUCCAGCACCGACGUCAGGCACGAAAGCGUGGGGGAGCAAACAGGG
rnacentral:rRNA from 1 species